rnacentral:rRNA from 1 species
CCUACGGGAGGCAGCAGUGAGGAAUAUUGGUCAAUGGGCGGAAGCCUGAACCAGCCAAGUAGCGUGCGGGAUGAAGGCCCUACGGGUCGUAAACCGCUUUUGCACGGGGAUAACACCCUCCACUUGUGGAGGUCUGCAGGUACCGUGCGAAUAAGGGCCGGCUAAUUCCGUGCCAGCAGCCGCGGUAAUACGGAAGGCCCGAGCGUUAUCCGGAUUCAUUGGGGUUAAAGGGAGUGUAAGCGGUCGUUCAAGCCAGCUGUAAAAGCGCGCGGCUCAACCGCGCCCCGCAGUUGAAACUGGGCGCCUUGAGUUCACGACAGGCAGGCGGAAUUCGUGGUGUAGCGGUGAAAUGCAUAGAUAUCACGAGGAACCCCGAUUGCGAAGGCAGCCUGCCGGGGUGCGACUGACGCUGAGGCUCGAAGGUGCGGGUAUCAAACAGGAUUAGAUACCCCUGUAGUC